rnacentral:lncRNA from 1 species
AGAGGGUUUGUGUCCAAAACUCCUCUCCUGACCCUGGCUGCAGACAGCGACGAGCACAGCUGCUUGGAAACCUCUCCUCUGGGCCUCUUGCAAUGGUGCAGAGAAACAGAGAAAUGCUGCCUGGUGCUGCCCCUCCGCAGGUGCUGCUUUCAUUCCAGCUCUGCAGCUAUUGUCAGCGGUGACCUCAAUGAGGAGCACAUUAGGAGUCACGCCUCCUCGCUUGUCGCUCACACGCACUGGAUUUGGGAGAAAUUUUGGGCUCUGGCCCCUCGCUUGUACCCUCCUGCCGGGGCUGCUCAGCACCUACGAGAGAGCUGGAGGAAGGUCCCUGUUCUCCAUGCCUUCAAGGGCAGAGCUCCAAGGAGAAGGACCGAGGCUGGACUGGAGGAGGGAUGGGGGGAACCCGACGUGCUCCCUCUCUUGGUUUUCAUCACAAGUGAUGCAAUUUGUGAGGCUGCCUCCAGGAAGCACCAGGAGUCACAUAAUUGUGUAAAAUCUCAGCUUUUGUUCAUUUUCCCAUCCCUCAAAAAAUGCAAGCUGAAAGUUUCAAGCAGAAAGGAACAGCUAGACUUUUUUUUUUUUUUAAUGACAAUUUUAAAAGUCUGUGCCUCUUUGGAUAUAUUUUUUAUUUUUUUUCUUUUCUUUUAGGGACAUUGGCUCAUGAAUUUUUAAUCCUUGAGCUUGGCAGCACUGGUUGAAUUAGAAAGAGAACAACUGAUUUUAAUGAGUGUACAAUUAAUGCAGAUGAGCUUGGCUGAAACCUCGAUCCAGCUGAGGGGAGAGGAUUUUUCUCCCCGCACCUCCCAGCCGGCCCCACAUAUCCUCGCUGCUCAUCACCUGGGGGAGAUGCUCUAUCCCCCACAAGCAUUCAGGCUCUUACUUUUCAUUCACCAUGACAUAUCCCUUCCUGGAGAGCUGCUUUAUUUGUUUGAAAAAGUGCUUAACUCCCUGGGUAGUAUAACCAGAAGUUGUUGAUGGAGCAGUGUCCCAGCACACGCUGGUGUUGGGCAGAGCUCUCCCACUGCUGUCCCGUUAGCUUAAUGACUUGCUUUCCCAUACCCCUUAAAUUAGAGAUUUGUGUCGUGCGUGAUUUUAUUACCUGAGCAAUAAAGAAAGACGGAGGAGGCUGAGCUGAACUAAU